rfam:Triticum aestivum genome assembly, contig: Triticum_aestivum_CS42_TGACv1_scaffold_003060_1AL
CAAAUACUCCCUCCGUUCGAAUUUAGAUGACUUGCAUUUGUCCACAUUGGGAUGCAUCUAUACUUGUAUAGUGUCUAGGUACAUCCGUUUCUAGACAAAUGAAAGACAUCUAAUUUGGAACGGAGGGAGUAUAUA